GCCGGCGGCGCUUUCGCUCACGCCGAGGAACACUGACAAAGGCAAGGCCGUAGCCUACGUCGACGGUCCUCCGCCGCCGCUGGGUUCGUUGAGCGAAAUCAGAAGCGGCGGCGGGGCCAAAACGUCGCCGGAGUUGCAGAAUGCAGAUUGGAGGAGGUUUAAGGAGGUUGGGUUGCUCGAUGAGGCGGCGAUGGAGCGCCGUGACCGCCAAGAACUCGCCAAUAAGGUUGAUAGGCUCGAAGCCGAGGUAAAGCCGCCACCUUUUUCGGAUUUUUUUGAUUAUUGCCUUGAUCAGAAACCCUAGAAUUUGAGCGUUGAUUUGCAUUUUGAUUAUAUCGUAAUUGAUUUGUUGUUGUGCAGCUUUAUGAUUACCAGCAUAACAUGGGGCUUCUCCUUAUCGAGAAGAAAGAGUGGGAAUUGCAGCAUGAGGAGUUGAGCCAAGCAUUGGCUGAAACUCAAGA
rnacentral:lncRNA from 1 species